rnacentral:rRNA from 1 species
CGCGAAUAGCUCAUUACAACAGCUAUAAUCUACAUGUUCUUACUUUUAAACGGAUAACUGCGGUAAUUCUGGAGCCAAUACGUGCCUAAAGGGGUGUUCAGCAAUGAGCACUCUGCACUUAUCGGAGCAAAACUAAUCUUGUUUUAUGCUAACUCUGGAUAACCAAGCUUAUCGCAGGUCUUCGGACGGCGAAGUAACAUUCGAGUAUCUGCCCUAUCAUCUAUCGUAGGUAGUGUAUUGGACUACCCAGGAGGUCACGGGUAACGGAGAAUCAGGGUUCGACUCCGGAGAGGGAGCCUUAGAAACGGCUACCAUUUCUAAGGAAAGCAGCAGGCGCGCAACUUAUCCACUGUCCACUAGGACGAGAUAGUGACGAGAAAUAACAAGUUCGUUCUCUUUGAGGUCGAACAUUGGAAUGGACCGAAUUUAAAAGAUUCGGUGAGUACCCACGAGAGGGCAAGUCUGGUGCCAGCAGCCGCGGUAAUUCCAGCUCUCGUAAUGUAUAGAAUUAUUGUUGCGGUUAAAAAGUUCGUAGUUGGAUUUCAUACCACUUGGAGGUAGUGUUUAACGACGCUUACUUGCGGUGGUGUUUACAUCGAGUCGAGUUCACUUGGCUAGAUGUGGAUUACUUUGAACGGCUUAAGUGCUCAAGGCGAGUCUUCGGACUGAAUACCGGUGCAUGGAAUAAUGGAACAAGGUUUCGGCUGAGUUUUAUUGGUUUUGUCGGCAGAGACAAUGGUUAACAGGAACAGCUGGGGGCACUCGUAUCCCGGCGCGAGAGGUGAAAUUCGUGGACCGUCGGGAGACGCCCUAAAGCGAAGGCAUUUGCCAAGAGUGUUUUCAUUAAUCAAGAACGAAAGUCAGAGGUUCGAAGGCGAUCAGAUACCGCCC